GACCGCGUAGCUCAGUUGGCAGAGCAUUGGGUUAGUAUUCCAAACGUCGUAGGUUUGAUUCCCACCGUGGCCA
rnacentral:tRNA from 1 species